rnacentral:misc_RNA from 1 species
GAUGAAGAACGUAGCGAAAUGCGAUAAGUAAUGUGAAUUGCAGAAUUCAGUGAAUCAUCGAAUCAUUGAACGCACAUUGCGCCCGCCAGUAUUCUGGCGGGCAUGCCUGUCCGAGCGUCAUUUCAACCCUCGAACCCCUCCGGGGGGUCGGCGUUGGGGAUCGGCCCUGCCUCUUGGCGGUGGCCGUCUCCGAAAUACAGUGGCGGUCUCGCCGCAGCCUCUCCUGCGCAGUAGUUUGCACACUCGCAUCGGGAGCGCGGCGCGUCCACAGCCGUUAAACACCCAACUUCUGAAAUGUUGACCUCGGAUCAGGUAGGAAUACCCGCUGAACUUAAGCAUAUCAAUAAGCGGAGG